GAUGAACGCUAGCGACAGGCCUAACACAUGCAAGUCGAGGGGCAGCACAUGAGUAGCAAUACGAUGGUGGCGACCGGCGCACGGGUGAGUAACACGUAUGCAACCUGCCUUCUACUAUGGGAUAACCCGUUGAAAGACGGACUAAUACCGUAUAAUACAGGGGCUCCGCAUGGAGAUAUUUGUUAAAGAUUUAUUGGUAGAAGAUGGGCGUGCGUAUGAUUAGAUAGUUGGUGAGGUAACGGCUCACCAAGUCAACGAUCAUUAGGGGUUCUGAGAGGAAGGUCCCCCACACUGGUACUGAGACACGGACCAGACUCCUACGGGAGGCAGCAGUGAGGAAUAUUGGUCAAUGGACGAGAGUCUGAACCAGCCAAGUCGCGUGAAGGAAGACGGUUCUAUGAAUUGUAAACUUCUUUUGUGCAGGAAUAAAGUGGGUUACGUGUAACCUUUUGUAUGUACUGUACGAAUAAGGAUCGGCUAACUUCGUGCCAGCAGCCGCAGUAAUAC
rnacentral:rRNA from 1 species